CCCUAGUAACGGGAGUGAAGCGGCAACAGCUCAAAUUUGAAAUCUGGCUCUUUCAGAGUCCGAGUUGUAAUUUGCAGAGGGCGCUUUGGCGUUGGCAGCGGUCCAAGUUCUUUGGAACAGGACGUCACAGAGGGUGAGAAUCCCGUACGUGGUCGCUAGCCUUCGCCGUGUAAAGCCCCUUCGACGAGUCGAGUUGUUUGGGAAUGCAGCUCUAAAUGGGAGGUAAAUUUCUUCUAAAGCUAAAUACUGGCCAGAGACCGAUAGCGCACAAGUAGAGUGAUCGAAAGAUGAAAAGCACUUUGGAAAGAGAGUCAAAUAGCACGUGAAAUUGUUGAAAGGGAAGCGCUUGCAGCCAGACUUGCCUGUAGUUGCUUAUCUGGACUUUUGUCCAGUGCACUCUUCUGCGGGCAGGCCAGCAUCAGUUUGGGCGGUUGGAUAAAGGUCUCUGUCAUGUACCUCCUUUCGGGGAGGCCUUAUAGGGGAGACGACAUGCAACCAGCCUGGACUGAGGUCCGCGCAUCUGCUAGGAUGCUGGCGUAAUGGCUGUAAGCGGCCCGUCUUGAAACACGGACCAAGGAGUCUAACAUCUAUGCGAGUGUUUGGGUGUCAAGCCCAGACGCGUAAUGAAAGUGAACGGAGGUGGGAACCUUUUAGGUGCACCAUCGACCGAUCCUGAUGUCUUCGGAAGGAUUUGAGUAAGAGCAUAGCUGUUGGGACCCGAAAGAUGGUGAACUAUGCUUGAAUAGGGUGAAGCCAGAGGAAACUCUGGUGGAGGCUCGCAGCGGUUCUGACGUGCAAAUCGAUCGUCAAAUUUGGGCAUAGGGGCGAAAGACUAAUCGAACUAUCUAGUAGCUGGUUCCUGCCGAU
rnacentral:rRNA from 1 species